GUGGGGAAUUUUGGACAAUGGGCGAAAGCCUGAUCCAGCAAAGCCGCGUGUGUGAAGAAGGCCUUCGGGUUGUAAAGCACUUUUGGCAGGGAAGAAACAGUGCGUGCUAAUACCAUGCGCGAAUGACGGUACCUGCAGAAUAAGCACCGGCUAACUACGUGCCAGCAGCCGCGGUAAUACGUAGGGUGCAAGCGUUAAUCGGAAUUACUGGGCGUAAAGCGUGCGCAGGCGGCUUUGUAAGACGGAUGUGAAAGCCCCGGGCUCAACCUGGGAAGUGCAUUCGUGACUGCAAGGCUAGAGUGUGUCAGAGGGAGGUGGAAUUCCGCGUGUAGCAGUGAAAUGCGUAGAGAUGCGGAGGAACACCGAUGGCGAAGGCAGCCUCCUGGGAUAACACUGACGCUCAGGCACGAAAGCGUGGGGAGCAAACAGGAUUAGAAACCCCAGUAGUCC
rnacentral:rRNA from 1 species